rnacentral:rRNA from 1 species
AUUGAACGCUGGCGGCAGGCCUAACACAUGCAAGUCGAGCGGAUGAAGGGAGCUUGCUCCUGGAUUCAGCGGCGGACGGGUGAGUAAUGCCUAGGAAUCUGCCGGGUAGUGGGGGAUAACGUCCGGAAACGGGCGCUAAUACCGCAUACGUCCUGAGGGGGAAAGGGGGGGAUCUUCGGACCUCCCGCUAUCAGAUGAGCCUAGGUCGGAUUAGCUAGUUGGUGGGGUAAAGGCCUACCAAGGCGACGAUCCGUAACUGGUCUGAGAGGAUGAUCAGUCACACUGGAACUGAGACACGGUCCAGACUCCUACGGGAGGCAGCAGUGGGGAAUAUUGGACAAUGGGCGAAAGCCUGAUCCAGCCAUGCCGCGUGUGUGAAGAAGGUCUUCGGAUUGUAAAGCACUUUAAGUUGGGAGGAAGGGCAGUAAGUUAAUACCUUGCUGUUUUGACGUUACCAACAGAAUAAGCACCGGCUAACUUCGUG